UACGUAGGGUGCAAGCGUUGUCCGGAAUUAUUGGGCGUAAAGAGCUCGUAGGCGGUCUGUCGCGUCGGCUGUGAAAUCCCGAGGCUCAACCUCGGGUCUGCAGUCGAUACGGGCAAACUUGAGUGUUGCAGGGGAGACUGGAAUUCCUGGUGUAGCGGUGAAAUGCGCAGAUAUCAGGAGGAACACCGAUGGCGAAGGCAGGUCUCUGGGCAUUAACUGACGCUGAGGAGCGAAAGCAUGGGGAGCGAACAGG
rnacentral:rRNA from 1 species